rnacentral:rRNA from 1 species
GACGUAGGGUGCGAGCGUUGUCCGGAUUUAUUGGGCGUAAAGAGCUCGUAGGCGGCUCGUCGCGUCGACCGUGAAAACCCGCGGCUUAACUGCGGGCUUGCGGUUGAUACGGGCGGGCUAGAGUUCGGUAGGGGAGACUGGAAUUCCUGGUGUAGCGGUGAAAUGCGCAGAUAUCAGUAGGAACACCAGUGGCGAAGGCGGUCUCCUGGGGCAUUCUUGACGCUGAGGCGCGAAAGCUGGGGGAGCAAACGGG